AUUGAACGCUGGCGGCAUGCCUAACACAUGCAAGUCGAACGGUAACAGGAAGCUUCUUGCUUCUUUGCUGGCGAGUGGCGGACGGGUGAGGAAUGUCUGGGGAACUGCCCGAUGGGGUGGGAUAGCUACUGGAAACGGUAUCUAAUACCUCAUAACGUCUCAAGACCAAAGAGGGGGACCUUAUGUCCUCUUGCCAUCGGAUGUGCCCAGAUGGGAUUGGCUAGGAGGUGGGGUAACGGCUCACCUAGGCGACGAUCCCGAGCUGGUGUGAGCGGAUGACCAGCCACCCUGGAACUGAGACACGGUCCAGACUCCUACGGGAGGCCGCAGUGGGGAAUAUUGCACAAUGGGCGCGAGCAUGAUGCAGUCAUGCCGCGUGUAUGACGACGGCCUUCGGGUUGUAAAGUCCUUCCACCGGGGAGGAAGGGCGUACAGUUAAUACCUUUGCUCAUUGACGUUACCCGCAGAAGAAGCACCGGCUAACUCCGUG
rnacentral:rRNA from 1 species